GUGUCAGCCGCCGCGGUAAGACGGAGGGCGCGAGCGUUGUUCGGAAUCACUGGGCGUAAAGCGCGCGCAGGCGGGCCGGUCAAGUCGGAAGUGAAAUCCCGGGGCUCAACUCCGGGACUGCUUCCGAAACUGUCGGCCUGGAGACCGGUAGAGGUGGGUGGAAUUCCCGGUGUAGCGGUGGAAUGCGUAGAGAUCGGGAAGAACACCUGUGGCGAAGGCGGCCCACUGGGCCGGUUCUGACGCUGAGGCGCGAAAGCGUGGGGAGCAAACAGGAUUAGAUACCCUGGUAGUCCACGCCGUAAACGAUGGGCACUAGGUGCCGGGGGGAGCGACCCCUUCGGUGCCGCAGCUAACGCGUUAAGUGCCCCGCCUGGGGAGUACGGCCGCAAGGCUGAA
rnacentral:rRNA from 1 species